rnacentral:rRNA from 1 species
UACGAAGGGGGCUAGCGUUGUUCGGAAUUACUGGGCGUAAAGCGCGUGUAGGCGGGUCUUUAAGUCAGGGGUGAAAUGCCAAGGCUCAACCUUGGAACUGCCUUUGAUACUGGAGACCUUGAGUCCGGGAGAGGUGAGUGGAAUUGCGAGUGUAGAGGUGAAAUUCGCAGAUAUUCGCAAGAACACCAGUGGCGAAGGCGGCUCACUGGCCCGAUACUGACGCUGAGGCACGAAAGCGUGGGGAGCAAACAGG